GGGGUUGUGGCUCAGUAGUAGAGCACUCAUCUAGCAUGUGUGAGGCCCUGGGUUCAAUCCUUAGCACCA
rfam:Ictidomys tridecemlineatus contig116374, whole genome shotgun sequence.